ACUAACUAAUUUUCCAAUUUUCAGAUAAUGUUUAAAGGCUUUUAGCGUUAGACAGAUAAUAUAAAAGUUACACUGACAUUUACAAAAGUGCAUACAUACAUGUGUAUGACUUUUACACAGAAGCAAUAACGCAGUACGUGAUACAGGCAACGAUAAACGUAAAUGGUGACGCAUCGUGGCCAUGUUUCAAUACAACACGUUGCCACAAAGUCUGUCUGUCCAGACUCGUACAGAUCGAUCCGCCUUUCUAAUAAUUUUAUUUACAUUCGUUCGUUGUUUUUCCGAGGAUCAGAACGAAGCAACGGGAUAUCGAGAAACAGACAUUUCCGAUGAAAAGAGCGAGCUUUCAAACCAAUCGCACCGACGCCCUUCAUCCGAGCAACAUGAAUUGAAUCGCUGUAAAUCAUUCAGCCUGCAAACGAAGAUAGAAACGAUUUUCUCCACCCGUUAUCUAUUUGCGGACCGAUAUUUCCAUUUCCGCAGAGAACGAAUUUGCACAUGUACUCUAAUCCACGAAGUCAUUCGAACGCUCACGAUUUACCGUAUUGAGACGCGACUGUCAUAAUUAUAUCGUUUCAGAUUUGUUUCAAGAACUUUACUGAUACGUAUGUGAAAUUUGGAGACGUAAAAAUGCACAGGAUACGUACAGUGUACAAAAAUACUAAUGUAAUAUAUUUUUCGCAUAUUUUGGAAUAUUAUUAAACUUAUAUUGUGUAUCCGAAAAUAUCGAAAUUUACAGACAGUAGAGUAAAUUACUAAUUAUACAAAAAUAUAUAAAAUAUCCAAGGUAUUAAAAUUUCAUUGAAAUAUAAAUUUGCUCACAAAUUUGUUGUCUAAUCAUGAUACCGCGAUUAUCUUUCGCGUAAUAUAUGUAUACAUAAUAUAUUCAUAGAAUCUUUUUAUCUGUUUCCGAAUAAUUUCGUGAGUCAUUGUA